GGUCAGCGGGGGCUUGGCGCCCCCAGUUCGGGCAACUGGACUCACAGCCGGCGUGUGGGUGGAGACGGGGACGCGGCGACGAGGAAGGGGCGCCAGUGCUUCGCGAUGAUUGAAAGGAAUCCACAACAGGAUAUGAAACUUCGUCAAGUGACUCCUCUCUGUUAGCACUCGGACCUGGUACCUCUGGAGGGACUGGACUCCGCCUCCACCCACAGCCUGCAUAGGAGGACGUGGAGAGACCAAAAGGACUUCCCGGUUCCCCAAGGGGUGGACGGUCCAGGAGGAGAAGGAAAUUUUGAGAUAAAUGAAGUAUGAAAGUUGCUCUCAUCUGUGACUUUUCUGACACUCCUGAUACAAGCUGAGAAACAAAACUGAAAACAACAUCUUGGAUUAAUGGGAGGGAGAAAAGAAGAAAAUUCUGUUGACCAACAUGUGACCAGAUGCAGUCUGUGCUGCCCAUAGAGGGCAUCACCUGGUCAGAGACCAGGGUGUAACUGGAAGAAGUACUCCACCUCUGGUUCCCAUCAGCCCCCAUUCAGGAAGUCAGGGAGUGAGCAGAAAGCUCCAACUUUUUCCAUCAAGCUACCAGCAUCACCCACAAGUCAGAGGUUGUUGACAAGGAAAUUAGUUUGACAUUAUACAUUACAAUGUUCAGAACAGUAACAACCAAAAUUGAUAAGCAAUAUUGUAUCAGAACAUAUCAGACCUACAAGAAGCUUCACAUAAUUUUUAGGACACUAACAUUAAUAUUCAUAUAUAGGCUACAGUGGAACAUUUCUCUCAAGCAACAAUGCUUCCCAUUAAGUUUCUGAUUUACUAGAUGAAUACCAAAUAUGUCAAAUUUGUCUAAUGUAUGCCUCCUAAGGAAAGGGAGAAAUUCUAUGGAGUGUCUCAGGAGCUCUAUUGAGGUAUCACAAUAUUUCCUCUGAUAAAUCAAGCAAAAGACUACCAUUUUUAUUUCUAAUUUUAAGUUUUGAAAAUUUUUCAUAAGUAUUAAACACCAUUUAAUUACCCAACAGUGACAUUUUUAAGAUUCAGCUGCAGUGAGACUCCAUCAAUACAACACUAACAGAAUGAGACCUUUCCCAUCUUAUAGCUCAUUCCAAAAUUAACAAUUUAACAAUUUUGUUAACAAAAUUAACUAUGUUAAUUCUUUC